GGGCCUGUGGGUUAGUCUGGUCUAUGCUUGUUGCUUUGGGAGCAAUAGACCCUGGUUCGAAUNCAGGCAGGCCCACCA
rnacentral:tRNA from 1 species